rnacentral:rRNA from 1 species
UACGGAGGGAGCUAGCGUUGUUCGGAAUUACUGGGCGUAAAGCGCACGUAGGCGGCUUUGUAAGUAAGAGGUGAAAGCCCAGAGCUCAACUCUGGAAUAGCCUUUUAAACUGCAUCGCUUGAAUCCAGGAGAGGUGAGUGGAAUUCCGAGUGUAGAGGUGAAAUUCGUAGAUAUUCGGAAGAACACCAGUGGCGAAGGCGGCUCACUGGACUGGUAUUGACGCUGAGGUGCGAAAGCGUGGGGAGCAAACAGG